UACGGAGGGGGCUAGCGUUGUUCGGAAUUACUGGGCGUAAAGCGCACGUAGGCGGCUUUGUAAGUUAGAGGUGAAAGCCCAGGGCUCAACCCUGGAAUUGCCUUUAAAACUGCAUCGCUAGAAUUGUGGAGAGGUAAGUGGAAUUCCGAGUGUAGAGGUGAAAUUCGUAGAUAUUCGGAAGAACACCAGUGGCGAAGGCGACUUACUGGACACAUAUUGACGCUGAGGUGCGAAAGCGUGGGGAGCAAACAGG
rnacentral:rRNA from 1 species